CGUGUAGGCGGGUUUGCAAGUCGGGUGUGAAAGAUUCGGGCUUAACCCGGAGAGGUCAUCCGAAACUGCAGAUCUUGAGUGCUGGAGAGGAUAGUGGAAUUCCUGGUGUAGCGGUAAAAUGCGUAGAGAUCAGGAGGAACACCAGUGGCGAAGGCGGCUAUCUGGACAGUAACUGACGCUGAGGCGCGAAAGCGUGGGGAGCAAACA
rnacentral:rRNA from 1 species